GUGAAAUUCCGUCGGAAUCUGGGAGGACCAUCUCCUAAGGCUAAAUACUCUCUAGUGACCGAUAGUGAACCAGUACCGUGAGGGAAAGGUGAAAAGCACCCCGGAAGGGGAGUGAAAUAGAACCUGAAACCGUGUGCUUACAAGUAGUCAGAGCCCGUUAAUGGGUGAUGGCGUGCCUUUUGUAGAAUGAACCGGCGAGUUACGAUUUGAUGCAAGGUUAAGCAGUAAAUGUGGAGCCGUAGCGAAAGCGAGUCUGAAUAGGGCGUUUAGUAUUUGGUCGUAGACCCGAAACCAGGUGAUCUACCCUUGGUCAGGUUGAAGUUCAGGUAACACUGAAUGGAGGACCGAACCGACUUACGUUGAAAAGUGAGCGGAUGAACUGAGGGUAGCGGAGAAAUUCCAAUCGAACCUGGAGAUAGCUGGUUCUCUCCGAAAUAGCUUUAGGGCUAGCCUCAAGUGAUGAUUAUUGGAGGUAGAGCACUGUUUGGAUGAGGGGCCCCUCUCGGGUUACCGAAUUCAGACAAACUCCGAAUGCCAAUUAAUUUAACUUGGGAGUCAGAACAUGGGUGAUAAGGUCCGUGUUCGAAAGG
rnacentral:rRNA from 1 species